rnacentral:rRNA from 1 species
UACGUAGGGUGCAAGCGUUGUCCGGAAUUAUUGGGCGUAAAGAGCUCGUAGGCGGCUUGUCACGUCUGCUGUGAAAAACUCGGGGCUCAACCCCCGAGCCUGCAGUGGAUACGGGCUAGCUAGAGUGCGGUAGGGGGAGACUGGAAUUCCUGGUGUAGCGGUGAAAAUGCGCAGAUAUCAGGAGGAACACCGGUGGCGAAGGCGGGGUCUCUGGGGCCGAAUACUGACGCUGGAGGAGCGAAAAGCGUGGGGGAGGCGAACAGGA